AUUCUCUCACCUUCUCACGUUCGAAUCUCCAGUGUUGCCAUCUCCGAUUAGUGUUUUUGAAGCUGGAGCUGUUUGAGGGCUUGCGCUUUGAGUUUACUGAAGGACUUAAUCAGAAACUCUCACUAAGUCACAGAAGUGAAUGAAAUUGACGAAGAAAUUCAAGGAAUAUCCGUUGCAAAUUUAGAGGAUGAAACUUAAUAUGUUAUGUAAUUUUAAUUUUGGGAAUAGUACUUAGAACAGUUAUAAUUUCUGUAAAUAGACUGUUG